GGUGGGUGGGGCUGGGUUCCCUCCCUGUUGGUUGUUUGGCCUGAGGCAACUCAACACUGGAGCCUACCUGGCUCUUUGGUGGGGCUAAUGGCAGACUCUCAGAGGGCUCACGCCAAGGAGUACUUCCCAAAGCUUCUGUUGCUGGUGUCCCUGUCCUCAUGGUGAGCCACAGCCACCCCCUGCCUCUGCAGGAGGCCCUCCAACACUAGCCGGAAUUGGAUAAAGGUGAGAAAUGAAAGACAUGUCAAGCAUGCUGUUCUAGAAGGACGUGUUCAGAUGUGCCUGGGACCUUGCCCUGCGUAAUGCUUCAGGACUCAACAAGGCAGGCCCAGUGAUCUGUGAAUCAUCUUUAUCUUCUGAUAAAGAGGAACAGGUUUCUCUAUGUUCAUUAAACAAAAGGGAAUGACCAAUAGCAGGAACUUCUUCACCAAGUCCUGGACACAGCACCUGCUUUUCCAAGUCAGAUACAAAGCCCAAACAUUUCCACUCUAAACAAUAUGCAGCUUUGAAGGACUGUGGCAGACCAGAAUGGGGACAAGUCACUGCAGUGGCUCACCAUUAAUAGCAGCUUGCAGCACCCAGAGGAGGUAUGCAGAACCAGCCUUCUCUUAUAAACAAAGGAACGUUUACAGUUAUGUCAUUCUGUGCUUAUGACCGAUUCCUUGAAAUCUAGUCCCUCAUAUCCUGUCAAGAAUCUUGGACUAUGAUCUCUGAUGGUAUGCAUAUCAUGGAAUAAGCAGUUUACAACCUUGGAAUCCUAAGUUGCCCUUUCCCCACCAUCCACUCUGACGGCUCCUGUUUAUAACUGAAGUCUGCCCUCUGCUGGUCGAGGGCAGCCCAGACUAACACCACAGAGCCGCUGAGGUUUCUUCUAAAAUCAUCUCUUCUCCAGGAGCAUUUUGGAAAUUGCUACAAUUUAUUUAGCUAUAGAAAUACGACGAAAUGACCUCUUCUGCAGAGCAUUCCUCUUUUAUUUUUAUUUUUUGAUGCUUGUAGGUUUUUUCCUUUUAUUCAACAGUAGCAGAACUGGACCAGUUUUGGUUAUAUUUAUAAGCCACUUUCAUUUGUGAUAAAUAACCAUUAUUUGUAUUUAUGCAGUGCCUGCCCAGGCCCGUCUGCUUAUAUUGACUCAUGAAUCACUAAAAUGCUUUCCUGUGGUAGAAGCGGAAAAGGGCUGUUCGAGAUAGGAGAUGGUGCAAUUUAUGGGCCGUUAACUGGCCAGUAGUUUUCCAGAAGUGGUUUGUAGACUGAGUGGUGAGUAAAGAAAGACCCAGAGACUGAUCCUCCUCACAUUCUGUAGGGUAUCCAUUUGCCCUGUUAGAAGGCUGCAGGGCAUCAGGCAUUUGGGGAUCCCAAGCAGACCUGGCAAUCCUUUCUUCCUAUUCGUUCCACAUGGGCACUGUGGCCAGGAAAGCAGGUGCAGGAGGAUGGGAAAGGUGAGUGGGGAAGGAAGACAGAGCCCGGGGAGACCAUGAGACAGUGUGAGCAAAAGUCUGAACCAGUGAUAAGAGGAAAGGAAAAGCUAGGGGAGGGAAGGUGGAUAAGAGAAAGGAACAGUGGAUAAGGACAGAACAGGGGACUAAAGAAGUGACUCCAUUUUUCUGAGGGCUAUGAUCUGCUUUCUGCAAUGCAGUUAACUGUAAAAAUCUCUUCAGUUUUCAGUUAACAAAGGAAGGGAAUCCUGUCUGAUAUUCCAGAGUCCUUGAAAACAACCCUAUGCCUCUGACCUAAUGUUUUAGGAACAUUUAUACUUUCUGCCUUGAGAGAAACGCAGCACUUUUAUGAAAGAAAACUUAAUUUUUAGAGAGAUGGUUUGGGUUUCUAACCUCUGAGGAGGGGGAGGGGGAGGAACGAGGGCUCCUUAUUAUGAGCAUACACCAUAGCCAGAGGCCUGCACAUCUGUCCCAUUCCCCAACUACUUGAUCCUCAAGUUCAGCCAGAGUGGGGGCUCCACUGCCCACCCCACGGUCACCCUCACCCCAAGGGUCUGAUUACCCCUGUCAGUCUGCUUGGGGCUGCAGAGCCCCGGGCUCGGGGUGUAACAGAGAUCCCCAUGUCCUGUUCUUUCUCUUCCCCUCCGUUUCCCUCUUGCCUCCUCCCUCACCUCCUUCCCUGGUCCUUUGGACUCAAGUUCUCUCCUCCCACAUUGCCCCUCUCCAGACUUUGUGACUCAGAACUUAAGCGCUUGAGGAAAGACAGGGCUCAGUGUAUUCCUAUGAGUGGGUGCUGAUGCCCCUUUAAAAUCCACCUGGGAGAGAGAGGAGAGAGAACCAGAUCUUCUGCCUUUCCUCCCAGAGAUAAAGGUUAUUCUUAGCAGUAAAUAGGUUUGGUAUUUGGCGAGUGUUGUGUUUCUCUCCUUCCUGUCCCAGGGGCUUUGCACAUAGCAAUUCCUCUUCUUCAUGCAGGGAAGACAAACGGGGAGAAAGAGAAGAAAAAAUAGAGAGAGGGAGGCCGUCACUGUUUCCCUAGUAGGCUCUUCUCAGGACUUUGGAAGGCCGAUCCCGUUGGUUCUGUUGGAAAGCAGGGGAGUGCCCUCACCCCCAAACCCAGAAGGCCAGUUUAAUUCUAGCAGUCACUUUUGAGGCGAGAAGGCUAACGGCCAAAUGAACUCCCUUCAGGCCUUUCCACAGCACUUUGUAUGUAGCACGGGUUCGAUAAAUGUUUGCUCAGCCAGCCUCCCGCUUGCACCCUUGUUAGUAAGGGUCUCCCAGGACUGCCCUCACUGGGUGUUAGGACGGUAGCAGUCAGUUAGGGAAUUCAAACCCCAGCAUUAGACAGCAGACUCUGGAGAACCAAGAACUUGAGAAAUUUUUUAAAUUUAAAAAAAAAAAAAAAAGUGUUAAAAAGGUAAAAAAAAAAAAAAGACAAAAUGGCGGGCAAACCUCGAAAAGACUUACGUAAUGCUAUUCCACUUUGGAGCCGGAUGGUGAGAUUUUGCAGAGCCGCCAGCAGGGGGAGCUCGGGCAGUGUGUCAGAAUGCCAGCGCCCAGGUUGCCAGGAGCCAAAACCUCCCGAUAAACAAAACAGUGAACCUUUGUGGUUUCUCUUGGGUUCUUAAUUCUGGGACGCUCAAUCCAAGACGGCCUGAUUUUCAUCCUAGGGGACCCAGCUAGCUUCUCACAGAACACUAGCUGGGUCCUGGAAUCUUAAUAGAUCUCUCCCUCUUUUUUCUCCCUCCCAAAUUGCUUUCUCUCUGUCCUCCUCUAUUUCUAAUCCCUUGUCUCAAACUCUCUCAGUAUCUCUUUGUGUGUAUCUCCUUCUGUAAUUCCCAUUUCCUCUGAAUAUGUGUUUCUGCCUAUGCUUCUUUCUUGUUUUUUCUCUAUCAUUCUAGGCCCACUAGUAAAUGUUAAUGAAAAAUAAAUGGAGAUGAAACUACUGCAGACUGAGCUCUGAAAGAUUUUAAGAUCUGGCAAAAACUAACACUUUGAAUAAAAUUUAAAAUAUGCUAUACAGCAAAAGUGGCUAAUCCUGCCAGCACUUACAGUUCAGUCAUGUCUUCUGUGUAUAUCCUCCGGUGUUUGUCUCUAGGCCUGCUGCCCUUGCCAUCCUAUAAUUCUCUGUUGUCCAUUUGCUGUUGCCAAGCUGCUGCCCACCUCCCCCAAACCAUUGACCUCCAGGGUUCAUCUCCCUCUCUGACCAGUCCAACAAGGUGUUUCAGGUCCAGAAUAGUUGUACCUCUAGUGACACAGUUUUUUGCUUCUUAAGUAAGAUCCAGCCCAGAACACACUGGAACUCUUGGGAUUUGGGGUCGAGGGGCUCCAGGUGAGAAACUGGUGAGGAGCUCAGCCUUGCGCUCUGCCUGAAACCUCUUGUCCUCCAAUAUCAGGUGCUCCAGCUGGACCUGGUCUACUCUGCCAGAGUAUCUUUGCUCAUGGUGACUUUCUCUCGGGGAUCUUACUCAUUGUCUUUCUUUUUCUCCAGACUGACACCAGGGGACCUCUAGCUUAUCACACAGUCUGUAUAUAUCUGACCCCUUUGGGGGACAAAGUUUAAAUUCUUUUUCUGGCGUUUUGGGCACUGAGGACUCAAGAAAUGCAACUGAGUAUGUGUUUUAAGUUUCCAGAAUAUCCCAUGACAGUCAAGAAGCACCCCUAGCAUCUUACAAAAGGAUGCUUUGCCUGGACCCCACAGAGGCCAAAUGAGGGUCCUGAGCAUGGACUGUAUACAGAUGGCUCUGGGCAAUGCCACUCAGCAGGCACUGUCUCAGUUCCAGCCCCAGGUACUGUGACUACUGUGGUGGUGGUGGUGAAGUAUCCUCCUCAUUUCUACAUUUCGUGCUUACACCCUCAUUAGGAUGAGUCUCCCAGGACCCAUCCUAUGUCCAGAUUUAUCCUGUCCUAUCCAAGUUCUCAUUAUUUUUCAGACCCUAAUUAUGUGUAUCCCUGAGAGGCAGAUUCUAACAUGAGAUCAGGUAGGACAUGAGACUCUUUAAUCUUAGCACUUUAACUUUCUUUCAGCCUCCUGUAGCCAAGGAAGGUAGUGGUGGUAUGAUCUGAUCACCCCUCUUCCUGCCCUGCUCAAUACUUGGUAACCAUUAUCAUUUCCUAGUUCCAGAGCCUGUUUGGACGAAGUUGAAGACCAAAGUAGGGAGUAGGGGGGCAGACAGGCAAUACAAUCCAACAUUUAAAGGCACUGACGACUUGCUUGCCCUUGCUGGGCCCUGACCACACAGAGAGGCUGAACAAGACAUAGGCCUUGUCCUUAGAAAGUGAAUGCUUCAAUUGGACUGACGCACUAUGUCUCUGAAUAAGAAUAAAAAUGAAACUGCUGCAGAAAAACCCAGUGCUGCAAAGUGCUAACAUCAUCAGGCAGGUUGCCUCUGCAGUGCGAUCCAUAAUCUCUGUGACUUCCAGAGCCAAAAGAGUUGUUAUAUGACUUUCUAAAUUAAGCUUUUGCAUUACUUUGGAAACUUACAAAGCAUUCCUUCCCACAGACACUGUUCCCAAAUUAAACACUUUGUGCUUGUGCAGCUGUUCAAAUGUUAGUGAAUUGAAGAUGGAAAGGUUCUUAGGAAGGGAAGAGAGGUGGGUGCCUAGAAAGGAGAGGAGAGCCCUGCGGGGGAGUUUUUUUUGUUUGUUUUUGUAGGGGGUGGAAUUGAAGAGCUGGGGGUCAGAUAUCAGGGAUUAUAGAACAGUUGAAGAAAAUUAUAAUCAAGUUAGUCAGCGCAUAAAAUGUUUUUUAAAUUAUUAGGUCUAGAUAAGUGUAGGUUAAGGGGGGCGCAUUAUGAUCAAGUAUUUAAAAGCAUGCUUUUUUUUUUUACAUCUUUAUUGGAGUAUAAUUGCUUUACAAUGGUGUGUUAGUUUCUGCUGUAUAACAAAGUGAAUCAGUUAUACAUAUACAUAUGUUCCCAUAUCUCUUCCCUCCCUCCCAGUCUCCCUAUCCCACCGCUCCAGGCGGUCACAAAGCACCGAGCUGAUCUCCCUGUGCUAUGCAGCUGCUUCCCACUAGCUAUCUACCUUACGUUUGGUAGUGUAUACAUGUCCAUGCCUCUCUCUCGCUUUGUCACAGCUUAUCCUUCCCCCUCCCCAUAUCCUCAAGUCCAUUCUCUAGUAGGUCUGUGUCUUUAUUCCUGUCUUACCCCUAGGUUCUUCAUGACAUUUUUUUUUCUUAAAUUCCAUAUAUAUGUAUUAGCAUGCGGUAUUUGUCUUUCUCUUUCUGACUUACUUCACUCUGUAUGACAGACUCUAGGUCUAUCCACCUCAUUACAAAUAGCUCAAUUUCAUUUCUUUUUAUGGUUGAGUAAUAUUCCAUUGUAUAUAUGUGCCACAUUUUCUUUAUCCAUUCAUCUGAUGAUGGACACUUAGGUUGUUUCCAUCUCCAGGCUAUUGUAAAUAGAGCUGCAAUGAACAUUUUGGUACAUGACUCUUUUUGAAUUAUGGUUUUCUCAGGGUAUAUGCCCAGUAGUGGGAUUGCUGGGUCAUAUGGUAGUUCUAUUUGUAGUUUUUUAAGGAACCUCCAUACUGUUCUCCACAGUGGCUGUAUCAAUUUACAUUCCCACCAACAGUGCAAGAGGGUUCCCUUUUCUCCACACCCUCUCCAGCAUUUAUUGUUUCUAGAGUUUUUGA